CCUUGAGAAUGGAGCAUUCCUCAUCCAUCUACUUAUCUCAGAGCUUACACUGUGCCAGGCAUAGGUAGUAAGCACUCAAGAAAUCUUUGAGAGGGAGACAUUCUGUUCCGUUCAGCAAAGACAGAGGAAAACUUCAGUGAUCUGCCAAGUCACCAGAAAGACCAAGGAGUUGCCCAGGAUCUCCCAGCUCCUGACUCUGGUUGGCCGUGUGACUUGCUGGGGCCAGUGGGAUGCUGGCAGAGCAAUACAAGCAGCAGGGUGAGCAGUGCUUGGGGAAACAGUCCUGCUUUCUCGCACCUCUGCCAUUGCCGUGAAAAGAGCACACCUUGACGGUCUUCUGGUUCCAGGAGGAGGACGAGGAGGAUAAGAGACACAUGGAGCAGAGCCCUCUCAGGAGCCCCAACCAACCCAUGCAUCCAUGAGGGUGUGCAAUGUAAGAAUAUAGACUAGAAUGUACUGUUUGAUCCCCUCUGACAGCGCGAGUGACCGAGAGAGAAUGAGCCCGUGCUCAAAGAAGGCCUGCCAGAAUGCUGAUGUAGUUAUUUCUCAGUGGCGGAAUAGUGACCUCUCUCUUAAUAAUUUCUGUAUUUCCCAAAUUAUGUAAUAAACGUAAUACAUUUAUCACCAAGAACAUCAGG
rnacentral:lncRNA from 1 species